UAGGGAAUCUUCGGCAAUGGGGGCAACCCUGACCGAGCAACGCCGCGUGAGUGAAGAAGGUUUUCGGAUCGUAAAGCUCUGUUGUAAGUCAAGAACGGGUGUGAGAGUGGAAAGUUCACACUGUGACGGUAGCUUACCAGAAAGGGACGGCUAACUACGUGCCAGCAGCCGCGGUAAUACGUAGGUCCCGAGCGUUGUCCGGAUUUAUUGGGCGUAAAGCGAGCGCAGGCGGUUUGAUAAGUCUGAAGUUAAAGGCUGUGGCUCAACCAUAGUUCGCUUUGGA
rnacentral:rRNA from 1 species